rnacentral:rRNA from 1 species
UGGUGGAGUGAUUUGUCUGGUUAAUUCCGUUAACGAACGAGACCUCGACCUACUAAAUAGUUUACUGAACCCUUGGGUCCUAGUAAACUUCUUAGAGGGACUAUCGGUGUGUAGCCGAUGGAAGCUCGAGGCAAUAACA